AGCGAACGCUGGCGGCAGGCCUAACACAUGCAAGUCGAACGGUCCUUCGGGACAGUGGCGGACGGGUGAGUAACACGUGGGAACGUGCCCUUUGGUUCGGAACAACUCAGGGAAACUUGAGCUAAUACCGGAUGUGCCCUUCGGGGAAGGAUUUAUUGCCAUUGGAGCGGCCCGCGUCUGAUUAGCUAGUUGGUGAGGUAAAGG
rnacentral:rRNA from 1 species